rnacentral:rRNA from 1 species
UACGUAGGGUGCGAGCGUUAAUCGGAAUUACUGGGCGUAAAGCGUGCGCAGGCGGUUCGUUAAGUCCGCUGUGAAAGCCCCGAGCUCAACUUGGGAAUUGCGGUUGAAACUGGCGAACUAGAAUCUGGCAGAGGGGGGUGGAAUUCCACGUGUAGCAGUGAAAUGCGUAGAGAUGUGGAGGAACACCGAUGGCGAAGGCAGCCCCCUGGGCUAAGAUUGACGCUCAGGCACGAAAGCGUGGGGAGCAAACAGG